rnacentral:rRNA from 1 species
UACGUUCCCGGACCUUGUACACACCGCCCGUCAAGCCAUGGAAGUCGGGGAGACCUGAAGCAGGUGAGCUCAAAGCAGCCUGUAAGGGUAAAACCGGUAACUGGGGCU